rnacentral:rRNA from 1 species
GGUAGUCCUAGCCGUAAACGAUGGAUGCUAGGCGUUGGCAGACUCAAUCCUGUCCGCGCCGAAGUUAACACGAUAAGCAUCCCGCCUGGGAAGUACGACCGCAAGGUUAAAACUCAAAGGAAUUGACGGGGACCCGCACAAGCAGCGGAGCGUGUGGUUUAAUUCGAUGCUACACGAAGAACCUUACCCGGACUUGACAUAUAGAUGGUAGAGAAGAGAAAUUGGAUCGACUCGCAAGAGAGUUUAUACAGGUGUUGCAUGGCUGUCGUCAGCUCGUGUCGUGAGAUGUUCGUUUAAGUACGCUAACGAGCGCAACCCUCAUUGCCAGUUACAAGUGUCUGGCGAGACUGCCGGCCGCAAGCCGGAGGAAGGCGGGGAUGACGUCAAGUCAGCAUGGCCUUUAUGUCCGGGGCUACACACACGCUACAAUGGGAUGGAACAAUGGGAAGCCAAGCCGCGAGGCGGAGCAAAUCCUAGUAAAACAUUCCUCAGUUCAGAUUGCAGGCUGCAACUCGCCUGCAUGAAGUUGGAGUUGCUAGUAAACGCGCGUCAGCUAUAGUGCGUUGAAUACGUUCCCGGGUCUUGUACACACCGCCCGUCACACUAUGGGAGCUGGUAACACCUAAAGACAUUGGCUUAACCGCGAGGAGAGUAAUGUUUAGGGUGGGGUCGGUGACUGGAGUGAAGUCGUAACAAGGUAGCCAAUCGAAUUCC